rnacentral:rRNA from 1 species
GUAGUCAUAUGCUUGUCUCAAAGAUUAAGCCAUGCAUGUCUAAGUAUAAGCAAUUAUACAGCGAAACUGCGAAUGGCUCAUUAUAUAAGUUAUCGUUUAUUUGAUAGUACCUUACUACUUGGAUAACCGUGGUAAUUCUAGAGCUAAUACAUGCUGAAAAUCCCGACUUCGGAAGGGAGGUAUUUAUUAGAUUAAAAACCAAUGCCCUCUGGGCUCCUUGGUGAUUCAUAAUAACUUUUCGAAUCGCACGGCCUUGCGCCGGCGAUGGUUCAUUCAAAUUUCUUCCCUAUCAACUUUCGAUGUUUGGGUAUUGGCCAAACAUGGUCGCAACGGGUAACGGAGGGUUAGGGCUCGACCCCGGAGAAGGAGCCUGAGAAACGGCUACUACAUCCAAGGAAGGCAGCAGGCACGCAAAUUACCCAAUCCCGAUUCGGGGAGGUAGUGACAAUAAAUACUGAUACAGGGCUCUUUUGGGUCUUGUAAUUGGAAUGAGUACAAUUUAAAUCUCUUAACGAGGAACAAUUGGAGGGCAAGUCUGGUGCCAGCAGCCGCGGUAAUUCCAGCUCCAAUAGCGUAUAUUAAAGUUGUUGUGGUUAAAAAGCUCGUAGUUGAACCUUGGGCCUGGCUGGCCGGUCCGCCUCACCGCGUGUACUGGUCCGGCCGGGCCUUUCCCUCUGUGGAACCUCAUGCCCUUCACUGGGUGUGGCGGGGAAACAGGACUUUUACUUUGAAAAAAUUAGAGUGCUCCAGGCAGGCCUAUGCUCGAAUACAUUAGCAUGGAAUAAUAAAAUAGGACGCGUGGUUCUAUUUUGUUGGUUUCUAGGACCGCCGUAAUGAUUAAUAGGGACAGUCGGGGGCAUCAGUAUUCAAUUGUCAGAGGUGAAAUUCUUAGAUUUAUUGAAGACUAACUACUGCGAAAGCAUUUGCCAAGGAUGUUUUCAUUAAUCAGGAACGAAAGUUAGGGGAUCGAAGACGAUCAGAUACCGUCGUAGUCUUAACCAUAAACUAUGCCGACUAGGGAUCGGACGAUGUUAUUUUUUGACGCGUUCGGCACCUUACGAGAAAUCAAAGUGCUUGGGCUCCAGGGGGAGUAUGGUCGCAAGGCUGAAACUUAAAGAAAUUGACGGAAGGGCACCACCAGGGGUAAACCGCUUCAUGCAGCCGCAGUAGCUCUGCUCCCAAAAGCAGCCCGAAAGGGUCAGUGGUGUUCCUGUCCGCGCUCCGGCGCGGCGAACCAAGUGCUAGUCUCUCCGGAGGCGACACCCUCAAAUUGCGGGAAACUUCUAAAACCAGUGUCACCAAGCCGGCGUCGAAAAGGCGUCGGUGGCCGGGGCAAUGACCUAGGGUACGGUAAAAGCACACUGGAUAUAUGGACAAUCCGCAGCCAAGCCUCGUCACGGGGAAGGUUCAGAGACUAAAUGGGGGUGGGUAGUGUGCUGGAGGAUUCGUCCUCCGAGCGCUCGCUCACACACUGCUUAAGAUAUAGUCCGCCCGCGCUGGAAACAGCGCGGAUUGGCAAGCUCAAAUAAACGGGAGCCUGCGGCUUAAUUUGACUCAACACGGGGAAACUCACCAGGUCCAGACACAAUGAGGAUUGACAGAUUGAGAGCUCUUUCUUGAUUUUGUGGGUGGUGGUGCAUGGCCGUUCUUAGUUGGUGGAGUGAUUUGUCUGCUUAAUUGCGAUAACGAACGAGACCUUAACCUGCUAAAUAGCCUGUAUUGCUUUGGCAGUACGCCGGCUUCUUAGAGGGACUAUCGGCUCAAGCCGAUGGAAGUUUGAGGCAAUAACAGGUCUGUGAUGCCCUUAGAUGUUCUGGGCCGCACGCGCGCUACACUGACGGAGCCAGCGAGUACUUCCUUGGCCGAAAGGCCCGGGUAAUCUUGUGAAACUCCGUCGUGCUGGGGAUAGAGCAUUGCAAUUAUUGCUCUUCAACGAGGAAUCCCUAGUAAGCGCAAGUCAUCAGCUUGCGUUGAUUACGUCCCUGCCCUUUGUACACACCGCCCGUCGCUACUACCGAUUGAAUGGCUCAGUGAGGCGUCCGGACUGGCCCAGGGAGGUGGGCAACUACCCCCCAGGGCCGGAAAGCUCUCCAAACUCGGUCAUUUAGAGGAAGUAAAAGUCGUAACAAGGUCUCCGUUGGUGAACCAGCGGAGGGAUCAUUA